GACGAAGGGGGCUAGCGUUGUUCGGAAUUACUGGGCGUAAAGCGAGUGUAGGUGGUUGUCCAAGUUGGAUGUGAGAGCCUUGAGCUCAACUCAAGAAAUGCAUUCAGGACUGGGCGGCUAGAGGACCGGAGAGGAUAGUGGAAUUCCCAGUGUAGUGGUGAAAUACGUAGAGAUUGGGAAGAACACCAGUGGCGAAGGCGGCUAUCUGGACGGUUUCUGACACUAAGACUCGAAAGCGUGGGGAGCAAACAGG
rnacentral:rRNA from 1 species